UACGUAGGGGGCAAGCGUUGUCCGGAUUUAUUGGGCGUAAAGAGCGUGUAGGCGGAUGGGCAAGUCUGCUGUGAAAGCUCCUGGCUUAACCGGGAGUGGUCGGUGGAAACUGCCAAUCUGGAGGACGGUAGAGGUAGGUAGAAUUCCCGGUGUAGUGGUGAAAUGCGUAGAGAUCGGGAAGAACAUCGGUGGCGAAGGCGCUCUACUGGACCACAACUGACACUCAGGGACGAAAGCUAGGGGAGCGAAUGGG
rnacentral:rRNA from 1 species